AGAGUUUGAUCCUGGCUCAGGAUGAACGCUGGCGGCGUGCUUAACACAUGCAAGUCGAACGAAGCACCUUGAUUCGAUUCUUCGGAUGAAGAUCUUGGUGACUGAGUGGCGGACGGGUGAGUAACGCGUGGGUAACCUGCCUCAUACAGGGGGAUAAUAGUUAGAAAUGACUGCUAAUACCGCAUAAGACCACAGCACCGCAUGGUGCAGGGGUAAAAACUCCGGUGGUACGAGAUGGACCCGCGUCUGAUUAGGUAGUUGGUGGGGUAACGGCCUACCAAGCCGACGAUCAGUAGCCGACCUGAGAGGGUGACCGGCCACAUUGGGACUGAGACACGGCCCAAACUCCUACGGGAGGCAGCAGUGGGGAAUAUUGCACAAUGGGGGAAACCCUGAUGCAGCGACGCCGCGUGAGCGAUGAAGUAUUUCGGUAUGUAAAGCUCUAUCAGCAGGGAAGAAAAUGACGGUACCUGACUAAGAAGCACCGGCUAAAUACGUGCCAGCAGCCGCGGUAAUACGUAUGGUGCAAGCGUUAUCCGGAUUUACUGGGUGUAAAGGGAGCGUAGACGGAGUGGCAAGUCUGAUGUGAAAACCCGGGGCUCAACCCCGGGACCGCAUUGGAAACUGUCAAUCUAGAGUACCGGAGAGGUAAGCGGAAUUCCUAGUGUAGCGGUGAAAUGCGUAGAUAUUAGGAGGAACACCAGUGGCGAAGGCGGCUUACUGGACGGUAACUGACGUUGAGGCUCGAAAGCGUGGGGAGCAAACAGGAUUAGAUACCCUGGUAGUCCACGCCGUAAACGAUGACUACUAGGUGUCGGGCAGCAAAGCUGUUCGGGGCCGCAGCAAACGCAAUAAGUAUUCCACCUGGGGAGUACGUUCGCAAGAAUGAAACUCAAAGGAAUUGACGGGGGACCCGCACAAGCGGUGGAGCAUGUGGUUUAAUUCGAAGCAACGCGAAGAACCUUACCAGGCCUUGACAUCCCGGUGACCGUCCCGUAAUGGGGACCUCUCUUCGGAGCACCGGUGACAGGUGGUGCAUGGUUGUCGUCAGCUCGUGUCGUGAGAUGUUGGGUUAAGUCCCGCAACGAGCGCAACCCCUAUGUUCAGUAGCCAGCAGGUAAGGCUGGGCACUCUGGACAGACUGCCGGGGAUAACCCGGAGGAAGGCGGGGAUGACGUCAAAUCAUCAUGCCCCUUACGGCCUGGGCUACACACGUGCUACAAUGGCGUAAACAAAGGGAAGCGAGAGGGUGACCUGGAGCGAAUCCCAAAAAUAACGUCCCAGUUCGGACUGUAGUCUGCAACCCGACUACACGAAGCUGGAAUCGCUAGUAAUCGCGAAUCAGCAUGUCGCGGUGAAUACGUUCCCGGGUCUUGCACACACCGCCCGUCA
rnacentral:rRNA from 1 species